CCCAAUCCGACUCCACCUUAUUCCGCCGGCGGCACCCGCUACGCCCGUGGCCACAAAAAAGAUGCCCGACGACCCCUCCUCACCACCACUCGUUCCCUUACCCUUAUCCUCUCCACCUCCUUCCUUCCGCCGGGGUCGCGCCCACCCCACACUGCCCGACGCCCCUCCUCAAAGCGAGGAGCGAGCAGCACCCCGGCCUCCCUCCCGUGGCGAUGCGCAGCACCCAGACACCCCUCCCCCGGCGCCCUCACCUUCUGCCUUCGGGGGUCACCGGAUCCCGACGGGAUCUAGUCAAGCCCUGCUCGCCAAAAGACGGCGGCGGCGCGGCGGCUGCACCCCGGCCCCCCUCCCCCAGUGGCUUUACCCCGGCCCCCUCCCCCAACAGCAGUACCCGCUGCCGCCCCGACCAAAUCACAUCCUCGGCGGAGUAUGCGCCGGAUCAGCCGAUGGGGAGGGCCGUCGCUACCAUGUCUCCCCUCCAGAUGGUCUUCUUGCGACGACCAGCUGCUGGCGAUUUGGCCGUGACGGCGAGCCCAACCUCGGAUCUGUCCGUGACGGUUAACCCCCGGAUCUGUCUCCAUCUUCCUCCCCCUCCAUUGGUUGCUGGCCGUGACGGUGAUCCCAACCUCGGAGAGGAAGGAGCACGAGCUGCGGCAGAGUAAGCCCCCGCAGCCGUGGCUCUGCCCCCGGUCGAUCCAAGGGCUCCCGUGCAGUCCACUACCUCGGUGCACGCAGCACGUCGGCACCCCCCCUCGCGAGAUUCGGCGGGCUGUAGGUCGUCGCUUGCCGCCGUGAGGUCGGCUUCCGAGCGGCAUGGCACAGUGCCACAAGUUCUCCUCUCCCUCAUCACCUCCACCUCCAUGGCUGGUCCCCGGAUUUCACUAUGGAAAAAAUGCGCCAUGUUUCCUGGAGUUGGCUCAAUUCCUCUCCCCCGACGAGGAUCCCGUGCUCCCCUACCCGAACCACGCAUCCAGGAGCUCCUCCCGGCCCACGGCGAUCUCCUGUGCGCGGCACCACCACUCUUCCUUCGAAUCAAGGCAUAAAGUUUGGAGCAUGUGAACAAGCAGUGCAAAUGGUGCAUUUUUUGUUUGAGAAUUUUGUGUAUAAAAAUUACAGGGACUCAUUUUGUGUUUGGGAUGAGACUAUUCAAAUAAUGUAGUUUGAAGUAUGUGCACAUGCAGUGCAGUCCGGGCUUUUUGUGCUUGGGGAUUUUACGUAAAGCAUGAAAAUUGCAGUGACUCAUUUGAAUGCAGUUCCGGGGGAAACAUGGUGCUAUUGAGACUUUAGCAUGCAGUUUAGACCAUGUGGACAUGCAGUGCAAAAUGGUGUGUUUAGAAACGUGUAUUUUUCGUAGUCUUUGUAAAGUUUUGGCCUAUUUGUGGACUCCCAUUUGAUUGCA